GCCAGGUGCGGUGGCGCACGUCUAUAAUCCCAGCGGCUCGGGAGACUGAGGCAGGGGGAUCGUGAGUUCAAAGCCAGCCUCAGCAACUAAACAAGGCCCUCAGCAACUUAGUGAGACCCUGUCUCUA
rnacentral:sRNA from 1 species